rnacentral:rRNA from 1 species
GAUGAACGCUGGUGGCGUGCCUAAUACAUGCAAGUCGAACGCAUUGAGAGAAGUGCUUGCACUUUUCAAUUUGAGUGGCGAACGGGUGAGUAACACGUGGGCAACCUACCUGAUAGCGGGGGAUAACGAGUGGAAACAUUCGCUAAUACCGCAUAACAAUAGAGAAGGCAUCUUCUUUAUUUAAAAGGCGCUUUCAAGCGUCACUAUCAGAUGGGCCCGCGGUGCAUUAGUUAGUUGGUAGGGUGAAGGCCUACCAAGACGAUGAUGCAUAGCCGAGUUGAGAGACUGAUCGGCCACAUUGGGACUGAGACACGGCCCAAACUCCUACAGGAGACUGCAGUAGGGAAUCUUCCACAAUGGACGAAAGUCUGAUGGAGCAACGCCGCGUGUGUGAUGAAGGCUUUCGGGUCGUAAAGCACUGUUGUAUGGGAAGAAAUGCUAGGCUAGGAAAUGAGCUUAGUUUGACGGUACCAUACCAGAAAGGGACGGCUAAAUACGUGCCAGCCGCCGCAGUAA